CGGAAGCGGGGCCCCCAGUCCGUCAGGAAGUCGAAGCUCUGCUCGGAGUCUGAUGUGGCCGACUGCAGGGAGCUCAGCGACCCCGCCACCGAGCCGUCCCCCUCGAACAUCUGGUGAACAGUGGCAGUUUGACAGCACUGCAAAGCCUGAAAUACUACAAUACAUUGGAACUAAUAAAAAUGCUGUCAAUAGAAAGAAAUUAACACCAAAAAUGAUAAUACAGAUGUAAAAACGGAGGCCUGAAGAGGUGAAGCAACUAGUUCAAGGUGACAUAGCCAGAUCCCAACCAGACUGUCCCAGCCAGGCUACAUUGAGUCAUCAUGUCUCCUUAGCUUCUCAGACUUUGAUUGUCUUUGAUGACCUUGACAAUUAGGAUCACUACUGGUCAAGUAUUUUGUAGACUGUCCUUCAAUGUGAGUUUGUCUGAUGUUUUUCUUAGGAUUAGACAAAGGUGAUGAAAGGUUUUUCACUGUUGGAGUGGGAGAUUCAGAUAAGCUGGACGGGAAGCUAAAACAAACCGUGCAGUCUUAUUGAGAACAGUGACUCACAAAAUAUGAAGAUCUACCAGUUCAGAACAAGUGUGAGAAGAGGAAAGCUUUCUGGAAAUAGAUGGUGGUGAUGUUUGUCCAACAACGUGAAUUUAAGAAGAUACUUCAAAAAUAUGUGGAAAAUGGGAUUAAAAGGUAAGUUUAGGA